rnacentral:tRNA from 1 species
GCCAGCGUAGCUCAGUCGGCAGAGUAACUGAUUCGUAAUCAGUAGGUCGGGGGUUCGACUCCCCCCGCUGGCUCCA